GCAACCCUCGUCGUAUGUUAUAUGUGUCAUACGAGACUGCCGGUAAAAAGACCGGAGGAAGGUGAGGAUGAUGUCAAGUCAGCAUGACCUUUAUAUCCAGGGCUACACACACGCUACAAUGGUCUGUACAAUGGGUAGCCAAGCCGCGAGGCGGAGCCAAUCCUGAAAGCAGGCCUCAGUUCAGAUUGCAGUCUGCAACUCGACUGCAUGAAGUUGGAGUUGCUAGUAACCGCAGGUCAGCAAUACUGCGGUGAAUACGUUCCCGGGCCUU
rnacentral:rRNA from 1 species